rnacentral:lncRNA from 1 species
AUUCCUUUGGAGAAAGAAUACAAAUGACUGAUAAUGAUGUCUUAUGCCUUCGGCAAUGUACUAAUCUGUCUAAUGAUGAAAUUUGUGUUAAAUGAGAUGCGUCCCAUUUUUCUAUGUGCUCCAGAAGCCAAGUUAUCACUGAGAAAAUAAAUCCUUUAUUCUUUAGUUUCUUUAGACCAACAGCUUUUCAGACUGUUUCAUGAACUUUUAAGAGUUAAAUUUAUUGAGUAUGAAUCACAUCUAUACUCUAAGAAACAGAAAUAGUUUAGAAAGGUUUGGUUUAUAAUUUAAUCAUUAAUAGAAUUUGUAAUCAUUAGGUGGUUAUAAUGUCAUUGAAUAAUCUGAAUGUGAGUAUGUAGAAUCCAUUAUUAAUCAUAAUGAAGUUCAUUCACAUGUAUUUAUUCUUUUGUUGUUCACAGUUUCUAUGUGUUACUGUUUCAUUUCAGAGUAGUUUAGCAUGUUCAGUUUGAUACCUAAACAUCAUGAGAAUGUUUAAUGUCAUUCUAUGUUUCUUUAUAUGCGCUUAGUAUCAAAUAAUUUAUUAUGAACAAAUUAUUAACAUAAAUCAUAGUAAGUGAGUAUCAGAUCUGUCUCUUUUACCAGGCAAAAGUAUAAGUUGGAUCAAAUAAUCAGGAUCUUGAGGGUCUCCUCUCAAGAAGCUGCAACAGGAGAGCCCUCCUCUCUCUCCUCACACACACCCCAGAGACACUCCCAGUUUGAAGAACAAAAAACCAGUAAAUUUGGGGUGCUCAGUCUCUUCUUUAUUUUACUCUUAUCCUGUUGUUUCCCCUUAGCUCUCUUAUUCUCUCUCUUACUCUUGUUUCUUACUUUUUCCUCUUAGUCUUCUAAGUUUUAUGCCACAUGUUCAUUCAGGUUAUUUGAUUUUUCUUUAAACAUCGUCUUCGUUAAAGUUUUGAAAUGUCAACUGUAUGUGCAAAUAGCAAUCCAAGAUAAAGCCUUUAUCUAAUUUUUCUUUAAUUUUGCUGUCAUUUUUGAAAUAGUUUCAACUGGCCAUUGAGCCUCUUUUUCUUAGUCAUCUGCGUGAUUUUAAAGUCACCUCUGAAUGCCACACAGCGGGCCCAAAGUCAUCCUCUGUGGUAGGGUUUUGCGGUGAGACCAAAGGAACAUCCAAACAAUACAUAGGGCGCUGGUUCUGCAUUCAGGUCUGUGUGCUGUGACUUCUGGCCCAUCUUUCAUCGGACUUUGGUCCUCUUCUGAGCUGAACCUCUCAAACCGCAGGCAGCCUGGACCUUCAGCGAACCUGCUCCAUUUUCUCCAAGGAGAAGCCUCACUUAAGUUUGCAAACCUCCAGAGCUCCAGACAGGGCUGAUGCUGUCUCAUGCCUUCAUAAUUCAAAUAUUCAUUUAUUCAAGUAAUCCUAGAUUCAUCCAAAUCCACAUCCAAAUUUAUCUCUACACCAAAUUUAAUGUAGGUCAAUAUGUUAGAGCAUAUUCACUCACUAUCAUUGACUUCAAUAAUCAGAGCCUAACUCAGAAUCUGACAUUUUUCUAUCAUUAUUUGUCCCCAUUAUCUUAUCAUCAUUUAUUGCAUGUAUGUUGUACCAUCAUUUUUCCUGUCAUAAACAGAUCAUUAUUUUUCUAAGUUCUUGUCUGUUAGUGUUCUUCCAGAAGUGGAGUCCCUGAAAUGAGAAUUUCAGCUUGAGAUAUGAGAUUGAUUAACUUAAGAUUGACUUAAUGUUUGAUUUCUGAAUCAAACCUUUGUUUUUCUUAAUUUUCCCACUGUUAAAGGUGGGUAGUGCCCCUUCAACGAGUGCAUAAAAAUUAAGGUUUUUAUCGAUUAUUAAUCUUAGGACAUUGAUUAUAAAUUAAAUCGCUAUACUCUUAUUCACAGACAAUGAAAGCAGGUGGAAAGGCAAGGUGUAAACAGAGGUGUCAAAAGUAUUCACAUACAUUACUAAAGUAAAAGUAUAGAUACUAGGGUUAAACAAGACUUUUGUAGAAGCUUAAGUAUUGACUCUUUUUUUUUACUCAAGUAAAAGUGUAAAACUACUGGUUUCAAAAUUACUUAAAGUAUAAAAGUAAAAGCAAUGUAGGCCAUGGCCUAAGCUUUUGUCCUUAAUGGCAUAUUUCCCCCCUUUUUUUCCAGAAAACAGAAGUCAUAGGGAUACCUUUCAUGCAGAACAGGCUGAUACAUUGCGCUUUUAUUAAACAAACAAAAUAGUUUGUUGUUUUGCCUAUUUACAAGGCUGCAUCUUUCUGUCUCUACAUGGUUGCGUGUUUACAUUGCUAUAUAAAUUGCACACGGCAGAGUUUCGGCCCAUUGCAUACAUACAGAUUACACACAUACCCAUUGUACAGAUUUAUUCUGUUUAUUUUUAUUUUUGCUUUUCUUGUUUGUUAUCUUUGAAAGUAUAUUCUUUACGUUUGGCAUAAAAGUGAAGAAAGGGUAGGCACAAUAAGCCAUGGGCUUCAGCCUACACCUUUUUUUGGUCCAAUGAUUUAAAUGAAAUGAAAUGAAAAGUGUAAUUAUAAUAUUUUUUUUGGGGGGGGACCAAAAAUAAACUGAAGUGAACCGAACACAU